rnacentral:rRNA from 1 species
AUUGAACGCUGGCGGCAGGCCUAACACAUGCAAGUCGAGCGGAGCGGCGGACGGGUGAGUAAUACCUAGGAAUCUGCCUGUUCGUGGGGGAUAACGUUAGGAAACGGACGCUAAUACCACAUACUAUCAGAUGAGCCUAGGACGGAUUGGCUCGUUGGUGAGGUAAUGGCUAACCAGGGCUAUGAUCCGUAACUGGUCUGAGAGGAUGAUCAUCCAAACGGGAACUGAGACAAGGUCCAGACUCCUUCGGUAGGCAGCAGUGGGGAAUUUUGUACAAUGGGCGCAAGCCUGAUCCAGCCAUGCCGGGUGUCUGAAGAAGGCCUUCGGGGUGUAAAGGACUUUUGUUAGGGAAGCGGUACCUAAAGAAUAAGCACCGGCUAACUCCGUGCCAGCAGCCGCGGUAAUAC